rnacentral:lncRNA from 1 species
UGGGCCUAGUCAACUUCCACUAGGCCUACACAUUCCCGCUGCACCACUGCAUUUGCCUCCGGCUCCUGCACCACAGAAGUUGGCUCCUGCACCACUGCAUUUGCCUCCGGCUCCUGCACCACUUAAUUUGUCUGUUGCUGGACCAUCACCUGCCUGUGCUCCAAAGUGGGCACCAGUCUCAACCCCCCAACAAAUGCAUAAAGAUACAAAGCCAUGGACGCACAAUGCAACAUUACUUCUAAUUUCUCUGACAAAGCAAAUGGCUGAAGACUUUCAAUCUCCUGUAUUAAAGAAAGUAGAAGUGUGGAAAAAGGUAGCUGCACAAAUGCUGGCAAAAGGAUAUGACUUUGGAGCAGAGGCAUGUGACAAUAAGUUCAGGCAGUUGAAACAUAGAUACAAAACAAUAGUGGACAGUAAAAAGAAGACUGGGAGUGGUGCCAGCAGCUGGGUCUUUUUCUCAUCAAUGGAGGACCUCCUGGCUGAUGAUCCCAGUGUGGAGCCGGUCCUGAUCAUGUCAUCUUUUGCUGGAUCUUCAUCAGAUCCAGUUGGCCCAGGACCAUCAACUUCACAAUCAUCAACUUCACAACCUAAGCCAUCAGCAGAACAUGGCAAAAAGAGAAGGCGCAAGUCUGAAGCACCCUAGUGGUUUGAGCAAUAUGUCACUGAGCAGAGGAGGCAGAUGUCAGAACUCAUGGACCUGCAAAAGCAAGCAGUGGAAGUGGCAAGCGAACGUAGCAACAUCUUAAAAGAAUUUGGUUCUGCUUUGUCGAAGAAAUAGCAACUUGUGUUUUCUCCUUUUGCAACAUUCUGCUGAUGGCAUGAUGUACAGUGUAUAUAUGCUGAAGGAAAUGCAUGCAAUCUUGAUCAC